rnacentral:rRNA from 1 species
GGGCGAAAGCCUGAUCCAGCCAUGCCGCGUGUGUGAAGAAGGUCUUCGGAUUGUAAAGCACUUUAAGUUGGGAGGAAGGGCAGUAAAUUAAUACUUUGCUGUUUUGACGUUACCGACAGAAUAAGCACCGGCUAACUCUGUGCCAGCAGCCGCGGUAAUACAGAGGGUGCAAGCGUUAAUCGGAAUUACUGGGCGUAAAGCGCGCGUAGGUGGUUUGUUAAGUUGGAUGUGAAAUCCCCGGGCUCAACCUGGGAACUGCAUUCAAAACUGACUGACUAGAGUAUGGUAGAGGGUGGUGGAAUUUCCUGUGUAGCGGUGAAAUGCGUAGAUAUAGGAAGGAACACC